CUGAAACACCAAAAACUCCGAUCAGAUCAGCAUCAUGGAUAUGAUGCUUCCAGACACGUCAGAGUCUCCACCUGUGUUCAGGUAAGCCCCGCCCCACAGAUGCGAUUGGCUGAUCCCUGUCCAAUCACAUCCCAGUCCUGGUUCCCACACAUUAACACUGAUGGAGCUCUCAGCCAACCACAGAGCAGAGAACCUGAAGGGGGCGGAGACAAGAAGAAGCUGUUCUGGUUGAGGAUGAACCCGUGGCAGCAGGCGUCGCGGCUGCAGCCGUCCUGACAGAAACGAUGAGCGUCCGACAGAGAC